rnacentral:rRNA from 1 species
GAUGAACGCUGGCGGCGUGCCUAAUACAUGCAAGUCGAGCGAACAGAUGAGGAGCUUGCUCCUCUGACGUUAGCGGCGGACGGGUGAGUAACACGUGGAUAACCUACCUAUAAGACUGGGAUAACUUCGGGAAACCGGAGCUAAUACCGGAUAAUAUAUUGAACCGCAUGGUUCAAUAGUGAAAGACGGUUUUGCUGUCACUUAUAGAUGGAUCCGCGCCGCAUUAGCUAGUUGGUAAGGUAACGGCUUACCAAGGCAACGAUGCGUAGCCGAACUGAGAGAGUGAUAGGCCACACUGGAACUGAGACACGGUCAAGACUCCUACGGGAGGCAGCAGUAGGGAAUCUUCCGCAAUGGGCGAAAGCCUGACGGAGCAACGCCGCGUGAGUGAUAGAGGUCUUCGGAUCGUAAAACUCUGUUAUUAGGGAAGAACAAAUGUGUAAGUAACUAUGCACGUCUUGACGGUACCUAAUCAGAAAGCCACGGCUAACUACGUG